GCUGGCGGCAGGCCUAACACAUGCAAGUCGAGCGGUAGCACAGAGAGCUUGCUCUCGGGUGACGAGCGGCGGACGGGUGAGUAAUGUCUGGGAAACUGCCUGAUGGAGGGGGAUAACUACUGGAAACGGUAGCUAAUACCGCAUAAUGUCGCAAGACCAAAGUGGGGGACCUUCGGGCCUCAUGCCAUCAGAUGUGCCCAGAUGGGAUUAGCUAGUAGGUGGGGUAACGGCUCACCUAGGCGACGAUCCCUAGCUGGUCUGAGAGGAUGACCAGCCACACUGGAACUGAGACACGGUCCAGACUCCUACGGGAGGCAGCAGUGGGGAAUAUUGCACAAUGGGCGCAAGCCUGAUGCAGCCAUGCCGCGUGUGUGAAGAAGGCCUUCGGGUUGUAAAGCACUUUCAGCGGGGAGGAAGGCGGUGAGGUUAAUAACCUCACCGAUUGACGUUACCCGCAGAAGAAGCACCGGCUAACUCCGUGCCAGCAGCCGCGGUAAUACGGAGGGUGCAAGCGUUAAUCGGAAUUACUGGGCGUAAAGCGCACGCAGGCGGUCUGUCAAGUCGGAUGUGAAAUCCCCGGGCUCAACCUGGGAACUGCAUUCGAAACUGGCAGGCUAGAGUCUUGUAGAGGGGGGUAGAAUUCCAGGUGUAGCGGUGAAAUGCGUAGAGAUCUGGAGGAAUACCGGUGGCGAAGGCGGCCCCCUGGACAAAGACUGACGUUCAGGUGGGAAAGCGUGGGGAGCAAACAGGAUUAGAUACCCUGGUAGUCCACGCCGUAAACGAUGUCGAUUUGGAGGUUGUGCCCUUGAGGCGUGGCUUCCGGAGCUAACGCGUUAAAUCGACCGCCUGGGGAGUACGGCCGCAAGGUUAAAACUCAAAUGAAUUGACGGGGGCCCGCACAAGCGGUGGAGCAUGUGGUUUAAUUCGAUGCAACGCGAAGAACCUUACCUGGUCUUGACAUCCACAGAACUUUCCAGAGAUGGAUUGGUGCCUUCGGGAACUGUGAGACAGGUGCUGCAUGGCUGUCGUCAGCUCGUGUUGUGAAAUGUUGGGUUAAGUCCCGCAACGAGCGCAACCCUUAUCCUUUGUUGCCAGCGGUUCGGCCGGGAACUCAAAGGAGACUGCCAGUGAUAAACUGGAGGAAGGUGGGGAUGACGUCAAGUCAUCAUGGCCCUUACGACCAGGGCUACACACGUGCUACAAUGGCAUAUACAAAGAGAAGCGACCUCGCGAGAGCAAGCGGACCUCAUAAAGUAUGUCGUAGUCCGGAUUGGAGUCUGCAACUCGACUCCAUGAAGUCGGAAUCGCUAGUAAUCGUAGAUCAGAAUGCUACGGUGAAUACGUUCCCGGGCCUUGUACACACCGCCCGUCACACCAUGGGAGUGGGUUGCAAAAGAAGUAGGUAGCUUAACCUUCGGGAGGGCGCUUACCACUUUGUGAUUCAUGACUGGGGUGA
rnacentral:rRNA from 1 species